AGUAACUGGCAGAGGUUACCUCGUAAAUAGCAUGACCUCUGCUAAAAAAAGUAGGAUGAAUCCUAAGGAAGUUAAUAGCUGAAGGCUGCAGCUACUAGAUUCCAGAGAGUGGCCUGGGGCACAAGAUACUCAACCAGAGCAGACAGUGUCAGCCUCUGUCAUGGAAAGAUUGAACAGGAGAAUCUGGAACCAGGAGUGAGCAGAGCUGGCCCCAGGCCUUGGUGGCUGUGUACUAGUUCUGUGACCUGCAAUCAGUCACUUAACUUCUGUGAGCUCCUCUCUUUCCGUCUGUAAAAAAGGAAUAUGUACUACCCACUUCCUGAGUAGAUGUUGAAGAUGUUGUAAAAGGUUCGAGUCAACCAAUUAAAAGCAAUAGAUCACAUGAAGAUGAGUAUAUCUUCUGUUUGUUGGGACAUAAUCCAGAGAGGAUCUUUCUCCCCAGAUAUUAUGGGAUGGCCACAUUUUACAGCUGAGAGUGACAAGGCUUAGAAACUAAACAUAUAAGGUCCUGCCCCAUCUCCUGGAAGAAGGAAUGCUACACAGAGAGGCUAAGAAGACUCUGGACAGUGCAGAAUCUGGAGCUAGAGAAAAAUUUAAAAAGCCACAAGGAUGUGAAUUGCUGAGCCUGAGAUAGAAGAGAUGAUUUGGACAUGGCCAAC
rnacentral:lncRNA from 1 species